GCCGCGGUGGCGGAAUUGGUAGACGCGCGGGACUCAAAAUCCCGUUCCCCUAAAGGAGUGCGAGUUCGAUUCUCGCCCGCGGCACCA
rnacentral:tRNA from 1 species